rnacentral:tRNA from 1 species
GGCGUGGCUCAACGGUAGAGCAGCUGAUUUGUAAUCAGCAGGUUGGGGGUUCGAUUCCCUCCG